rnacentral:lncRNA from 1 species
AGCUAUGUGGCCUGUCCCACAGCUGCAGUACUCCCCCGUCCACUGAGCCAAGCCGCAGACCUGCCUCUGAGGAAGGGAGUGAGGCAGAGAGUGGGAUUGGGGGCAGGCGCCCUCUGGGGACUCAGGCCUGGAGAAGAAGCACCCAAAAAUUUAUUGAAGGAACUUGUAAAGAAUGUUCGUAUGACAUACAGGAAAGUAUACAAAUCCUCCAUGUACAGCCAGAUGAAUGAUCCCAAAGAGAACACUCUGCUGGAAUUGCUGCCUGUAUCAAGAAAUGGAACAAUCAAGCAGCUGGCGACUUCUAAAGAGAUACUCCUUGUCACGGCACCUGGCUACAUUCAAAACUAGUUUUCUGAGACAAGGUUUUAAAUGACUGAAUUGUCUGGAAAAGUCAUACUUGAAUGAACAAGUUGUCUGUUGAUUUCUUUGUACCAUCUUGGCUAUCAUAGGUGAUGCUCUAAUGAGCACUCUUGAACAGAAAUCUUGGCGUCUACCUCUGCUAGGUAUCAGCGUCAGGGGGCCUGGGUUUGGUUCUAGCCCUCCUUGUGUGUAAGCAAUGAGAUUUCUGCCUUUUUUCUUUCUGUGAAAUGGGAAUGAUAAGAAUUUAAAUGAAGUGGGUUUAGUACAGAGCCUGGCGCAUCUAAACACUUAAUAAACACCAGCCAUUGUUAGUCUAGUAGAUUAUUUUAUGGAAAGUUGGAUUUCUGGUGAGAGGAUCUUAAUGUUUUUAAGGCUUUGGCACAAAAUAACUA